CGAAUUUGAAUAAUUACAAGAGGAGUAGACUAUGUCUAUUUAUAGGCUUGUAAAACCAUAUUCUAAUAGGAGUGAAACACCUUAUUCUAAUCAAUAUCAAAUGGAUAGAGUUUAAUAAGGUUUAAAAAACCUUAUUCUAAAAUAAAAUAAAAGAAGUAUAAUUCUAUAGGGAUUUUAAUUUUAUUUUAUUUUACCACAGUAUUUUAUUUAAAUAAGGAUUCGAGUCACUUAAUUCUAACAAUC
rnacentral:lncRNA from 1 species